CGGCAGGCCUAACACAUGCAAGUCGAGCGGAUGAAGGGAGCUUGCUCCUGGAUUCAGCGGCGGACGGGUGAGUAAUGCCUAGGAAUCUGCCUGGUAGUGGGGGAUAACGUCCGGAAACGGGCGCUAAUACCGCAUACGUCCUGAGGGAGAAAGUGGGGGAUCUUCGGACCUCACGCUAUCAGAUGAGCCUAGGUCGGAUUAGCUAGUUGGUGGGGUAAAGGCCUACCAAGGCGACGAUCCGUAACUGGUCUGAGAGGAUGAUCAGUCACACUGGAACUGAGACACAGUCCAGACUCCUACGGGAGGCAGCAGUGGGGAAUAUUGGACAAUGGGCGAAAGCCUGAUCCAGCCAUGCCGCGUGUGUGAAGAAGGUCUUCGGAUUGUAAAGCACUUUAAGUUGGGAGGAAGGGCAGUAAGUUAAUACCUUGCUGUUUUGACGUUACCAACAGAAUAAGCACCGGCUAACUUCGUGCCAGCAGCCGCGGUAAUACGAAGGGUGCAAGCGUUAAUCGGAAUUACUGGGCGUAAAGCGCGCGUAGGUGGUUCAGCAAGUUGGAUGUGAAAUCCCCGGGCUCAACCUGGGAACUGCAUCCAAAACUACUGAGCUAGAGUACGGUAGAGGGUGGUGGAAUUUCCUGUGUAGCGGUGAAAUGCGUAGAUAUAGGAAGGAACACCAGUGGCGAAGGCGACCACCUGGACUGAUACUGACACUGAGGUCCGAAAGCGUGGGGAGCAAGCAGGAUUAGAUACCCUGGUAGUCCACGCCGUAAACGAUGUCGACUAGCCGUUGGGAUCCUUGAGAUCUUAGUGGCGCAGCUAACGCGAUAAGUCGACCGCCUGGGGAGUACGGCCGCAAGGUUAAAACUCAAAUGAAUUGACGGGGGCCCGCACAAGCGGUGGAGCAUGUGGUUUAAUUCGAAGCAACGCGAAGAACCUUACCUGGCCUUGACAUGCUGAGAACUUUCCAGAGAUGGAUUGGUGCCUUCGGGAACUCAGACACAGGUGCUGCAUGGCUGUCGUCAGCUCGUGUCGUGAGAUGUUGGGUUAAGUCCCGUAACGAGCGCAACCCUUGUCCUUAGUUACCAGCACCUCGGGUGGGCACUCUAAGGAGACUGCCGGUGACAAACCGGAGGAAGGUGGGGAUGACGUCAAGUCAUCAUGGCCCUUACGGCCAGGGCUACACACGUGCUACAAUGGUCGGUACAAAGGGUUGCCAAGCCGCGAGGUGGAGCUAAUCCCAUAAAACCGAUCGUAGUCCGGAUCGCAGUCUGCAACUCGACUGCGUGAAGUCGGAAUCGCUAGUAAUCGUGAAUCAGAAUGUCACGGUGAAUACGUUCCCGGGCCUUGUACACACCGCCCGUCACACCAUGGGAGUGGGUUGCUCCAGAAGUAGCUAGUCUAACCGCAAGGGGGACGGUUACCACGGAGUGAUUCAUGACUGG
rnacentral:rRNA from 1 species